GGUAUUCGUACUAUGCUAUAUAGAAUGAGCAAAUACUGUUUACUAAUAUCUUCUACAAGUUUCACUAAUAUAUUCUGGACGUUUUGCAUACGACAAAAU